GGUGCCACUAGUCCUCCUUUUCUUUUUGGGAAUAUAGACUAACACGGCUGCUACUCUGAAACCUGUCUAAAUGGUCUUGCAACUUAUGUGGCUUCAUGCUCCAUCUGAGUCUCUGAUCAGAGUGUCACAGGCUGUGGAGAGCUGGAGCAGCGGGCCAGGAACAGAAAACAGAAAAAUCCAGAUAACACUGAUGGAUAAAGAAUGAAAAGGGAAAUAAACUCAGACCAGAAAAGCAGACUAAUGAAAGUUCAAACUAAAAACUGAGCCUGAAAAUGCCAUACAAGCAUACAGACACACAGAGAGACUAAUAUAUAGAUCAAGUGAUAUAGAUCUCAGAAAUGGAUACAAGGGGGAAUGAAGAAAAAAGGGGUUUGCAAUCAUGUCACAGGGUAUUCAGAGUGAAAACUAGUAAAAAAAAAUUCUGUAUAUCUAAAAGUGCUCAUCAGCCAAGUUUGUCUUUUCCUUUCUUUUUUUUUUUCCCCUUCACAUUUUUCUACCUUGUCCUAGUAUUUCUGUUCUUUCAAAAAGAGGAGUUUAUGAUACAUUAAAGGAGGGGAAAGGUUUCUUUAAAAAGCCAGUUUGCUUUCAUAUAUCCCCAGCAAAAGGUCUUUGCUGUGCUCGACACCAAAUUGCAUAACAAAAACAUAGACCGGCAAAAAUAAAUUUCUUGCUUUUAGCUGUAGCAUUCACUGACAGAAAAAGAAAAAAGAGAAACAAGCAAGUUGUGUUGCACUUUUGUGAAAGCAACGCCCACACCCCUCUUAUGUACACUAUUGCUAGCCUCAUUUAUCUGGGAUAAUCACAAGGAAGAAGAAUCCCAGGGAAUAAUUGCUCCCCUUUGUGUGUGUAUUUGUGUAAGGGUUAUAGAGACCUGCCUAAAAAGACUCCAAGGAAUAAAUUGUUAAUGCCACCUAUGAGGAACAGGAAAACCUGAACAAAAUGUUAACUAAGGUGCCCAUGAAGGACAUUGAAACAGUUGAAGGGGGUGGGGUGGGGUAGGACUUGUUGUUAUUUAUAGUAUAAUAUGCCCCUCGAGCAUAUGUUUGAGAAGUGUGUGGCUACUCAAACUAGCCACCAUAUUUUGUAUAGUGCAAGACUGGAGCCUUUCCAUUGUAGCUAGGAGCACUUUGUUCAUAUGGCAGGUUGGUGCUGGAUUCUCUUACCUAAGUAUCUCACUCCCAAGCGUGUGUGUGUGUGUGUGUGUGUGCGUGUUGGGAGCGGAAGAUGGGGUACACUUCAGUGGGUGCUGGGGAAAGGGGAGACCAGGGCGAACAAAAAUAGAGGAAUAAAGCAUUUAGGGCCAAAUUUACAGAAACAUCUCUGUGCACCUAAUUAUUUACACGUGCAACUAGUGAGAGGUGGUACUUUGUAAAACUUCUGAGAAACACAAACUAUCUUUAAAGGCCACCCUCAUCUCUUGCAUCGGUAAAAUACUCUCUCUGUGAGAAAGGCUCGUUUACUGGCAAAGGUUUGAGACUAUCUACAGCAGCCAUUGCCCCUUUGUGAACACAUUUUGCCACUUGGGGGCGGUGUGGUGCUAGAUAAAUAAUACAAGUAACAGGCCGUUCUUCUGUCCCCUGUUCUCUGCCCGCCCCUGGCAGCCUGGCCCCCUUUGCCUUUCAGACUUUCCCAUUUCUGACAGUACCACUGAGGAGGAUUGACAGAGCAGAGAGAAUUUGGGUCACGCUCUUCCGACAGCUUCUGCUCAGAGACACAACAUUCAUUUUAAGGCACAUUUUUAAGGACAGAAUUUUUGCCUUCCCUAAACUGGAGCUACUAGGCACGAAGACAAAUCCAUUCUUGCUGGAUUAUGAAAUUAACUGUGUUUAGUCAAAGAAUGAUUAAGCCAAGGAUGUCUGCAAUGUGGCUCUCCGCUGUUACAGUCUUAGCUUUUCUAGAAGGCACCGACGGAGCAGACUCAGUGACCCAAACUGAAGGCACCGUUACCAUCUCCCAAGGGGAUCCAGUGCGUCUGAAUUGUACCUAUCAAUUUUCUGCCUCUGCUACUCCUUACCCCUUCUGGUACGUGCAGUUCCCCAACCAGCCCCCCAGGCUCUUCCUGAGGGACCUGGGAAGGGAGGACUCGGAUGAAGGGAUCAGAAAAGGGUUCAAUGCCACCCACGACAAAAAGCACAAAUCCUUCCACCUGUGGAAAGCGGCCAGCGAACUGAGCGACUCCGCGACCUAUUUCUGCGCCGGGAGCGACACAGUGACACGGAGCAGCGUGGGAGCUGCGCAAAAACUGCGGAGGAAGGCACCUAUGGAGCAGACUCAGUGACGCAAACUGAAGGCACCGUUACCAUCUCCCAAGGGGAACCUGUGCGUCUGAAUUGUACCUAUCAAUUUUCUAUGCUCCUCCUUAUGCAUUCUUGUACUUGCAGUACCACAGCCCCCACCCCCCCACCCCCAUACUCUUCUUGAGGGACCUGAGAAGGGAGUGUGACAUUGCACCCUAUAAUUUUUUAUAGAAAUAUGCUUAUGAUUGUAAAUAUUACAUAACUGGAAUAUGUUCUAUGCUACUGUCAUAAAUAUAAAGGGAAGGGUAAACAGCUUUAAAAUCCCUCCUGGCCUUUC